AACGAACGCUGGCGGCAUGCCUAACACAUGCAAGUCGAACGAGACCUCCGGGUCUUGGGGCGCACGGGGGCGUAAGGCGGGGGAACCUGCACGUAGGUUCGGAAUAACUUCCCGAAGGGGGCGCUAAUACCGGACAAUUUCUUCGGACCAAAGAUUUAUUGCCAUUGGAUGGGCGCGCGUUGGAUUAGCCAGUUGGUAGGGUAAACGCCUACCAAGGGGACGAUAGAUAGCUGGUCUGAGAGGAUGAUCAGCCACACUGGGGGUGAGACACGGCCCAGAAUCUUAGGCAAGGGAGGAGAGGGGAAUAUAGGACGACGGGGGAGAGCCUGAUGCAGCCGGGCCGGGUAAGUGAUGAAGGCGGGAGGAAUGUACAGGACUUUGGCCCGGGAUGAUAAUGACGGUACCGGGAGAAUAAGCACCGGCUAACUACGUG
rnacentral:rRNA from 1 species